CAGGUAUUCAAGAUGAUUCAGUAGUCUCAAUGUGGAUCAGCUCAGAUCCUGACAGUUAAGCGUGAUAGCGGGGGACACUGUCUUCGUACCUGGAACGCCGGAAGAACCCGCACUGCGCAGAGAAGGAAAAGAACAGUUUAGCUCUAAGUUGCUUCCAAAGUCCUACAACUGUAGAGGCAGUAAAUUCCUCCUUCACACAAAUAUGCAGAAAAGCUACAAUAAAGUGUGUCCGUAGCACUUGAAGGUGGCUGUGAAGAGCAGAAGGAAGCCUCUACAGAAACCAGUUUGUGGACUACUACAUGGGACAGGCAAAACCACAGGGUGUAGAACAAAACCAGUUACUGCUUUGACUCCUUCAAUACAAGCUUUUGUCUUAAACCAAUGAUAUAUCUGUCUUUCCAGUACAAUGUUUGUUCUUCAAAAAACAGCACAGUAAAACACUAGUAGUUAGAACCUAACAGCCUACCCAGUAUUCAUUCAUCUGAAAUAC